rnacentral:rRNA from 1 species
AGAGUUUGAUCCUGGCUCAGGACGAACGCUGGCGGCGUGCUUAACACAUGCAAGUCGAACGGUGACGCGCUUCGGGCGCUGAUCAGUGGCGAACGGGUGAGUAACACGUGGGCAAUUUGCCCCUCACACUGGGAUAACCCCGGGAAACCGAGGCUAAUACCGGAUAUCACCUCGGAGGGCAUCCUCUGAGGUUGAAAGGGUUUACUGGUGAGGGAUGAGCCCGCGGCCUAUCAGCUUGUUGGUGGGGUAAUGGCCUACCAAGGCGACGACGGGUAGCCGGCCUGAGAGGGCGACCGGCCACACUGGGACUGAGACACGGCCCAGACUCCUACGGGAGGCAGCAGUGGGGAAUAUUGCGCAAUGGGCGAAAGCCUGACGCAGCAACGCCGCGUGAGGGAACGAAGGCCUUCGGGUCGUAAACCUCUUUCAGCAGGGACGAAGCGAAAGUGACGGUACCUGCAGAAGAAGCACCGGCUAACUACGUGCCAGCAGCCGCGGUAAUACGUAGGGUGCAAGCGUUGUCCGGAUUUAUUGGGCGUAAAGGGCUCGUAGGCGGUCCGUCACGUCGGAAGUGAAAACCCGGAGCUUAACUCCGGGCCUGCUUUCGAUACGGGCGGACUUGAGUUCGGUAGGGGAGACUGGAAUUCCUGGUGUAGCGGUGGAAUGCGCAGAUAUCAGGAGGAACACCAAUGGCGAAGGC